GAUGAAGAACGCAGUGAAAUGCGAUAAGUAAUGUGAAUUGCAGAAUUCAGUGAAUCAUCGAAUCUUUGAACGCACAUUGCGCCCGCCAGUAUUCUGGCGGGCAUGCCUGUCCGAGCGUCAUUUCAACCCUCGAACCCCUCCGGGGGGUCGGCGUUGGGGACCUCGGGAGCCCCUAAGACGGGAUCCCGGCCCCGAAAUACAGUGGCGGUCUCGCCGCAGCCUCUCCUGCGCAGUAGUUUGCACAACUCGCACCGGGAGCGCGGCGCGUCCACGUCCGUAAAACACCCAACUUCUGAAAUGUUGACCUCGGAUCAGGUAGGUAUACCCGCUGAACUUAAGCAUAUCAAUAAGCGGAGGA
rnacentral:misc_RNA from 1 species